CAAUUCUCACACACCGAGCUGAGAGUUGAGUGAGAGAACAGUAUGAGUUUCAGAAAUAUGUUGAAAGUGAGUUUCUUAAUGUUGCUUGCCAUGGCUUUGGCAGCAACUAGUGUUCAUGCUCGCUUAGACCUAUUUGGCCAGCUGCUUACCUCCAAGAACCAACCAGAGCCUAAUUCUGAAUGCCAGCAAAUUCCAUAUCUACUGUGCAUCCGUAUCUGUGACGCUUGCAUUUGCGAUAAGCGUGCUGCAGAAUUUGCGGAGUGCACUUGUGCAGAGUGGAAACCGACUGCAGAACUCCAGAAAUCUGAUGCAGCAAAAGCAUGCAUAUAUCAAAACAACGGGGAUGCGCAUAUAUACUUUCUUUAUAUACUUUAGUAUAUAAAAGUACAUAUGCUUUCUUUAUCGGAGAGUUCUGGAAUACGCAGGCUGUAACUUACAGCCAUUGGGAGGGGCGACGUGGCGCGAGGAGAGCCACUGAAUGAGUCAAAGUGGGGCUGAAGGUCAUUUCGCAGCUAACGGUGCCGUUAGGGUAAAACACGUUUUACAGCCUCCUCGGUGGCGCAUCAGCAACCACCACAACAUGGAUCCUUUCCCCUCCAAACCCCCUUGUUUCUCAGACCCAAAAUCACUUUUGUUCUUUCUCUCCUCUCACCACUCGACUUCAUAACCAAACCAUUCCUUUUCCGCUCUUUAACCAAAAUCCAAUCUUUAAACACAAACCAAGCCCAUAAUUUUCGUGGGUUUUCCGGGAAAGCAAUUUGGGUUUUUGUUUGAAGGGAAGUUAAGGAUAGUUGAAAGGAAGUUAAGGGUUUUGUGAAUGCAAAAGAGGAUGGCGUUGAUGAAGCUGAGGAGCAGAAUAGAGGGGAGAGUACUAUGCCGGAGCGGUUUAGGUGCUUGACCUAAGAAGCUCCUGACCCUCCUCUGAGGUGGCCUUGGUUUCUGGAUGACCCAGCACAAUGUUGCAGCCUUGGUGGUCGUGAAACCUGGAGAGCAAAAUCCAUUGCAGGAAUCAUAACAGAGAGAGGAGCCAUUUGUGCUGGUGUAUGAUUUGAUUUGCUUUGAGGUGGUGGAUCAAAGACAUGGGAUUCAUAUCCGUGAGAUGUUUGCAGCCUGCACAAUAUAGAGUAUGAAGAUUGAGGAAAAAUCAUAGUUGUGAUUGAGAAUUUAUUCCAAAUGUCUUACCCGUAGGUGAAGUAGGUUUGUUCCCAUUACAGUACACUGCAGAUAGGAAAGAAGGGAUUUCAACAAAUUAUGCCUAGUUGGCAGUCGGUAUAGCUUUAUAGGUUCAGUAACACAAAUUUUACAGUGUAAUAGAGGGUGUUCUUAUUGCAACAUAAUCACACAUUUCUUUUGUAGCAUGUUAAUUCGCCUUGGGUUAUUCUUUAUUCAGAGCAGUAAAAAUUUUGGAUUUCCUUUGAAAA